UACGUAGGGGGCAAGCGUUGUCCGGAAUCAUUGGGCGUAAAGCGCGUGUAGGCGGCUCGGUAAGUCCGCUCUGAAAGUCGGGGGCUCAACCCUCGGAUGCGGGUGGAUACUGUCGAGCUUGAGUGCGGAAGAGGCGAGUGGAAUUCCUGGUGUAGCGGUGAAAUGCGCAGAUAUCAGGAGGAACACCUAUUGCGAAGGCAGCUCGCUGGGACGUUACUGACGCUGAGACGCGAAAGCGUGGGGAGCAAACAGG
rnacentral:rRNA from 1 species